GAUGAACGCUGGCGGCGUGCCUAAUACAUGCAAGUCGAGCGAACAGACGAGGAGCUUGCUCCUCUGACGUUAGCGGCGGACGGGUGAGUAACACGUGGAUAACCUACCUAUAAGACUGGGAUAACUUCGGGAAACCGGAGCUAAUACCGGAUAAUAUAUUGAACCGCAUGGUUCAAUAGUGAAAGACGGUUUUGCUGUCACUUAUAGAUGGAUCCGCGCCGCAUUAGCUAGUUGGUAAGGUAACGGCUUACCAAGGCGACGAUGCGUAGCCGACCUGAGAGGGUGAUCGGCCACACUGGAACUGAGACGCGGUCCAGACUCCUACGGGAGGCAGCAGUAGGGAAUCUUCCGCAAUGGGCGAAAGCCUGACGGAGCAACGCCGCGUGAGUGAUGAAGGUCUUCGGAUCGUAAAACUCUGUUAUUAGGGAAGAACAAAUGUGUAAGUAACUAUGCACGCCUUGACGGUACCUAAUCAGAAAGCCACGGCUAACUACGUG
rnacentral:rRNA from 1 species